rnacentral:rRNA from 1 species
GACGAACGCUGGCGGCGUGCUUAACACAUGCAAGUCGAGCGGUAAGGCCCUUUCGGGGGUACGACGAGCGGCGAACGGGUGAGUAACACGUGGGUGACCUGCCUUUAGUCUCUGGGAUAAGCCUGGGAAACUGGGUCGUAAUACCGGAUAUGACCCUAUGGCGCAUGUUGUGGGGUGGAAAGCCUUGUGCGGCUAGGGAUGGGCCCGCGGCCUAUCAGCUUGUUGGUGGGGUGAUGGCCACCAAGGCGACGACGGGUAGCCGGCCUGAGAGGGCGACCGGCCACACUGGGACUGAGACACGGCCCAGACUCCUACGGGAGGCAGCAGUGCGGAAUCUUGCGCAAUGGGCGAAAGCCUGACGCAGCGACGCCGCGUGAGGGAUGACGGCCUGGUUGUAA